GUUUUCUUUUUGAGACCGCAUAGUCUGCGUCUUCUUGCUUUUGUAUUGUCUCACAUCCACCUCCUCUCGUGAGGAAUAAUUAAUGUAGUUGAUUUUUUUGACUUAUUGAAGUGUAGUUGAUUUUGUUGACUUCUUGAAAUCUGAAAACGUGCAUUCCCGAGGUAUAUAGCAAAGUUAUUAGAUGAUUGUCCUUUUUCCCACAUAAUUGAGAUAUCAAAAGUAACAUUAU
rnacentral:lncRNA from 1 species